CAAGGAUAGACUCAGCUAUGGAUCAUAAGUUAUUGCAAUAUAUUUAAAAAUUGACGGUACACAUGCUUUUUAAAUAAGAUCUUAUCUCUAAGUUAGAGUAAACUGUCAAGACUUAAAACUUACUUACUUUACCUUCACCAUGGGACUUUUAACUGUCACUUCUGUCUUGAGCGGUUAAAAGAUAGAACAGUCUAGUCAAGUGCCAUAUCUCUUAUUCUUGAUCAGCUAUAGCUCUGGGGUUUUUGCAGAUUUUCAAAUAAAACUCAGAGAUUCCUUGUAUGACUCUCUCAGAUCUCUCUUUUGUGGUAUUUCUGGAUCCUUACCAAGGCAGUGAUGGUAUAUGCCUUCUCUCAAGAUAUGUAGUAUUUGUGGUAUAAGGCAUAGUGACAUUGCCUUUUCUCUCACCCUACUCUAAUAAGGCUUUAAUAUCUGGAGCUCAUAGGUGGGAAAUAAAGUAUACAUACUUACAAGACAUGUAUUGCAUAGUCAAACCAUGGAUCCAAAGAAACAAGCCAAUGAGUUUAAUCAAGAUGUGCAUGUGUGGCGAAUGAAUGAUGUAUGGUGAUGAUGGUGAUAACAAUGGUGAAAACAAUGGUGGUGGAAGCUAAUUCUACUUUGCUCUUUGAGGGGAUACAUACCUUCCUUGCUUUUUUUUGAAACUUUAUGAGGAGAAUGAGAUGCUCUUCUUUUUCUUUUCUCUCAGGUGGGUAUCUUGCACCCCUAAUUCUACUGUCGGACACUUGUCCAUUUUUACCUCUCGUCUCACUCUUUUUCUUUUCUUUCGAGGUUCCGAGCACUUGCUCCUUUUUAUUUCCUCGUAUUUAUUAUUAUUAUUAUUUUUUAGAGCACUCAUCUCUUGAGAUAAUAUAGCAAGUGGUAGUAACAAGAUAACUUGAGCAUUUAUUUCACAAGGGAAAACAGAAAUAUUUUUGGUUAUUCUCUCCCGGAUUAGGAGUAGAAUAUUUUUGGGUGAUUCUGGAGAUGGAAAUGGAUGGAUAUAUGUGGAUGGUACUUCCGGAGUAGAAGUAGCAUAUAUGAGUGAACGUGCAAGUGAAAUCUUGAUUUAACCACAUGACAAGUUCCUAAGGGUCUACACAGCUUGACCACACUCAAUGCUCAUAAGCAGUAAAUAGUAAAUGUGUGGCUCAAAGUCUAGCAAGCAUGUAUAUAUGGCUGUGGUAGGAAUUUAAACUCUCAUCAUACAGGAACUCAUCAUGCAACAUUUUAAAGAUUUUCAAAGAUAAAAUUCUCCAGAAUUCUAGCAUCUCUAGGAACAGAUAAACAGCAGCUCAACCUUCCCAUAUCGUAUCCAUUAACAACUUAGACUUCAGAUCAAGUUUUCAUCCCACAAGUUUAGGUCUAGAGCAAGCUUUAAAUUAUAACAGUUAUAUCUAAACUUAAGAGAGAACUUAAAAUGUAGCUAUGCUAAUCUAGAUAUCUAAUUGAUGUGGUGGCUCUAAUCUUGAUCAGAGGCUUCUUCUCCCUUGAUGGAACAAUGAAUUAGGGUUGAGAGGCUCUCUCCUCCAGGGGCCAGGGGGUCUGGUUUUAUAGUCCCUUCAAGUGAAUAUGGGCCGUUGGAUCAAACCGACAUAGAUUGUAUGGUUUAGAUUCAUCCUUUAGGUCGGUGGAAAUCUCCCGCAAAGCAGAGUCCUGAUUGGACUCCCAGAGGGGGCGGGCGCCCAGGGCAGGAGGGCGGGUGCCCUGCCUCUGGCCCCGUUUCGCCUCCGCUUCGGUCUCGUGGCUUCUGGAGUCUUCUAGAUGUAAGAUAAUUGCGCGGCACGUUAAUAUCUCUAUGUAAUCCCGAUGUGUGGGCCUUUCUUCCGUAUUUCCUGAUAACCCCCUGCAGAAAUAGACAAACACCAAAACUCGUGGAAUUCUGUCAGAUAAAACCCUAAAUCUAGAUGUUGAUUUCAUUUGGAUUCUUUUCUUUAUUUAUUUGAUAAUUAAAUUUGAUACUUAAGGACCGUCAACACCAUGCAACAUUAAUUGAGUUCAUACAAACUUGAUUUUUUGAAAAAUUCAAGCUUGGGGGAAUGACUUCCAUGAAAAUAUCUCUUAACAUGUUGCUACAUGAUCUUGGUUGUCCCUACCCUUAAGACAUGCUCAAUUGGCUAAAACAUUAAUCAUGCUCUUUCAUCACCAUUUGAGAAAAUCUCUAUAGUGCUCUCAUGCUACCUUCAUUUGCUAUGGUACAUGUUUAGGUUUGAAGUAGUUUCAUACAUAUCUUAAAUGAAGCAUGGUGUUUAGUUUAGGAAUGAUGAUCUUACUUUCAAAGUCUUUUAAAUUAGGCAUGGUGCUUAGGUUAAAAUUCCUUCCUAAAUCAAACUAGACGUGAUGUCUAGGUUGAUUUUUGAACCGACACUAUACUGUAGUAGACGUUGGAUAUCUUGUUGGACUAACCCCUGUAGAGAAACUGUCAUUAUCAAAUUGGGGAAGUCCUAAGAUGAACUCACAUUAGGAAUGAAGAGAGAGACAUGAUCUUCAUCCACUUCACACAAGAGGCAACAUAUCUAGCAAAAGAGGAGUGCCACAAUCAGGAUUUACAAUCAAAGCAUGCACUCCUAGAUGGUGAACAAACAAAUCUUUGCCAUGCCACUAGAAGAUAAAGACCAUCAUGGAGGAACUCGAGUUGCAAUUUCAAGUCGCAGCCUCUUGUCAACCAUUAAUCAACGGGAAUCAAGAAAGAUUGACAAGAGAAGAGCAUGCAACUUUCUACACCCUCACUUCCUGGAUUGGAAGGUUGAUGCAAGAAGAAGGAAGGACAACUCAUCUAAAGAAUCCAACUGAGUUCUUCCUCCUCACAUGUUCCCAUCACUCCGGCACGCUGGUUUGCAACCUCUAAAUUCACUACUGCUUUCUUUCUUUAAGUUUGGUUUAUUUCACAACUCCCAUAUAUGAGAUCAAACUUAAUAUGAAAAAUAACCUCUAGAAACAAAGCAAAGGUGAAUAGUAAAUAUUCUAUGAUAACAUGCUCAAACAAACUUCACUCUAGCAUAGAAGGUGAUCUUUAGCUAUAUGACAACACUACCCUUGUUAUCUCUUGUAUAUUCCUUUGGGUAUGUGUUGCCCACUAAUGAUUUGUAGGAAUAGAAAGAAGAGCAAAAAGGUCCAACAUGAAGAAAAACCAAAAGAGAAAUAGAGAGAAGAUGGCAUGACCAAAAAAGGGCAAGAAGAAAGGAGUGCAACAAAGAGGACAAGUUGUACAUGAACAAGAUCGAAGACCGACCAAGAAAGAGAAGCUAGCACAAGGUGCUAUGAGAUCAACAUGCUCCAGUAUUAAAGGUAACACCUCAACACAUUUGAUCAUCACUUAAAAGCUUUUUCCCUAAUUCUGGUAUGCACAUAAAUGAAUAACGAAACAUGUUUGAGUUGCAACCUUACUUGAUCCAACCUGAUUAACUCAACAUGUUCAGUUCUUUAUGCUUGUUCAUAGAAGUAUUUUCCUAAUCUCACUGUCUUUACCAAAUGAAUUAAAAAUGUUGCACAUCUCACCACUAUAAGUUGAUAAUCACAAUCAUGUAAUGAUACAAUGUGCUGAGAUAGACUGUCCUUCCAUAGUGAUCUGAUCUAUCAAAGAUUUUAAUGCUACACUCAAACUCAUUGUCACCCAUGUAAGAAUGAACAAAGCACAUAGACAUCAACUUUGACUUGCUCAAUAUGCCUAAGGCUAGAUAUAAAUGAAAGAACUUUUGGUUUUGUUGGUGUUUUCCCACCAACAGAGCCCAUGCACUUGAUCUAUACCUUGUCUUUAUGAGCAGGACACACUUUGAGAAAAAGAUGGAGGAGUUUAUCAAUUCCUCAAAUCAUACAAGCGAUGUCCCUGCUUACGAACAUGCACACUGAGCAAGACGUUGGAUGAACUAAGAACAUAGGUGACAUCAUAUCAAGAAGUACGGUCAUUGAAGUCUCCACCCUUGGGACUAGAUGAUGCACCUAAGGAGCAAACAUGAUAAGAAGUCUUAUUUGGAGGACUUAAAACUUUGGAUCCUCACCGGGAGGUAAACUCGGUAGUUAUCUCUAUUUAACUUUUCAAUAUUGCAUUAGUUUCAAUUGCAUAACCACUUGCCUACAUUUGCAUAAUCAUAUCUCCCUAGCAUAUUUACUUCUCUAUAACACUUGCAUUAGAAAAUAAAAUAAAUAUUUGUUUGUUUUAGUACAUCAUAAUUCUUAAGCCCCAUGUGAAUAAUUUGUGGCGUGUAAAAACCCACAAGAGUAUUCAAUGUGGUGGCAUAAAAAUAAAAAUAAAUAUGCAUUCAUCUCAAUAGACAUUCUUUGCAUCAUAGAAAAUACAAAAAUACUGAGAAAGAUAUCCUAGUGAAACUUUGCUUAGAAGAACAAAAAAAACAAUCUCAAAAGCUCUAGACAACUGAGGCUUGGAUGGCCAACCACUAACGCCUAAUCUAUUCCACAAGCUUUGUUGUCUAUUUGAGUUUCACAGGACUUGAAGUACCAUGAGGAGCUGACAAGCAAGUGGAUGUUCUUUCCACGGUUGGAGCACUGUUUCCAUGAGUCAUCAACACCAAUGCUCUACUAGAGGAAGAACAUCUCCACUGCCAGUCCGCGACCUCACAAGAACGAAAGACUACGUCAACAUCCAGCUUGGGGGAGUGCACCCCCAUGUAUCUAGCUAAGUAUUCUCUUCCCUCCAUUUUACUUUAGUCCUUGUGAGUUUUCUUAAUCAGUUAUAAUAACCUAAAACAAAAUAAAAAGUUGUGUUUAGUUUGCUUGAUUUUGGUUUUAAAGAAGUUGUUAAUAAAAAAAGACUCUAUGAAUAAAACCCUUGCAUGUAAAUGAUGAAUAGUUGCUCUACCAUAAUUCCUUUCAAGUACCUAGUUUUCAACCUUGAACUCUCCCAAGUUUUAGACACAACUAUUUUGAUCUAAGAUUUGCUCUAAACCUGAAACUUGUGGGUAGCAUUGCUUGAACCUAAGUCUAGGUAGUUGGUGGAUAUGAUAUGGAAAGGUCUGAGCUGCUGUUUAUCUUGUUCUUUGAGAUGCUAGAGUUCUAGAGAAUUUAUCUUUGAAAAAUAUAAAAAUGCUGCAUGAUGAGUUCCUAUAUGACGAGAGCUUGAAUUCCUACCACAACAAUAUAUACAUGCUUGUAGACUAGGAAAACUUCCACUCAUAUUUACUGCUUGUGAACAUUGAGUAGACUAAAAUUAUGUUGACCCUUUGUCGGUGUUUUCCCCAUGGGGGGUCACACCAACGAGUGAAACUUGUGUGCGUGUUCCCUUUCCCAGAUGGUGAUGCAAGAAAGACACAAAGGUUUAUCCUGGUUCGGGCAAGAGAAGGCCCUAAGUCCAGCGGGGGGGAGAUGUUUCUAUUAUCUUGCACCUAAGUGCUUGUACAGGGGUGAAUACAAGUCGGUAUUGUGUAAAUGGAGGGAGAUGAAGUGUGGUUGUUCUUCUACGUAUGUCUUGUGUCCCGUAUCCUUUCCUGUGCCUCCCCUUUUAUAGUUCCAAGGGGUGACCUAGGUUACAUGGCGUAGGUGAUAGAGUAGGGGUCGAUAGGGGUGUGGUGCGCUGACCUACUCGAGGCUUCCGUACCGGCGUGGCCUCGAGCCGUCUUGUUACUCUGUACUUGGAUGAUGAUUACGCGUGCCUCUGAAUUCGGCUCCUGCGUGCCGUCUUGGAUUGGCUUAACCGUGGGCACACCUGUAUGUCGUGGCUACUGUCGCGUCAGAGUGGUUGAGGUGCUGUCUUUCACCGCCUGACUCUUUUUUGGGAAGGAACGUGUUCACUUGAGUGUCUGACGCCGCGCAAAGCCUUGCUGAUAGGAGCGCUGACUUUGGGCGUCUCGAGGGAGGUCGUGACAAGACGUUCCGACCGUCUCACUGUGCCCUGCCCUACUCUGGUUCAUCUGGUGGACAAGGCUGCAAAAAGGGCGAUUGGAUGGGUGCUUGCUCCCUAUCACGCUUCCCGUGACUGCCGGGUUAGGUGAGAACGCGACAGGCGCAUCAAAUGCCCUGGUUCUCGUACCCGUGUCAGGCGGCGGGCGGCGUCCUUGCGCUCGAGGCCUGUCGAUUCGUAUGAGCCAGUUCCGUAUUCGACGGUCGAAGCUUAGUCGAGCCUCAGCCGAUUCGCACGAUCCCUUCUCCGUAUUGGAAACUAUGGUCGUCAUCGCGUGCUGGCAAUCGAGCGUAUGAACGGGGGACGUCGAGUCAGGGGCCUCGGUGUACGGGAAUUGUUGUUAUGCGUAUUGGUUUGGGUACCCCUUAUUGACACCCUCGACAGUAGCCCCUGAGUCUCUAUUCGAGCGCUUGCGCUCGAGUAGAGGCUCCUCUCGUCGGUCGAGUUUCCGUGGGGUCGCGCGAGCGACCCCCGCGGGGGUAGCCCACGAGCCCUUGGAGGAGUUUUUGACUCCUUCGAGGGUUAUGUUGCCUUUUGUGAUGGAAAUGCUCGCGGUUUCCCCCUUCUCUAAAAGUUGUCCUUUAUGGAAGGGGGGCUUUGGGCCUCGAUAGGCUAGUUCCGCAUCGGGGUCGUGACAUACUCCCGGUGGAGUGAGCGUCACCUACCCCAGGUCGAGCUCCUAUCGGGUAAUCCAAGUGAGAACCUGUGCCCCGUUCGAGGGGGUCAGCUGUAGCCCGGAGGCGUUCUCAUAAAGCGGGGUCGACGUGGUCGGGAUUACUGAUCUCGCUCGAUAGAGUCCAGCGGCUCGCUGCCUCCCUUCAUGGGGAUUCCUUUCGACCGUCUCGUCCUCGCCUUGGACAUCCCCAGCGAGUUCUCGAGGCAGGCCUCGUUUUUCGACCACUUGCUGGGCAUCCCUGACUCUGGUACUCGAGAUCGACUGUCAAACCCGUUUUGUGGGCCAGUCUGUGGCCUCUCGAGAUUUUCGUCGUGACAGAUACGUACCUUGCCUUGCAGGGGAAGGAAGGAUUGCGGUGGUUCGCCUUUUCUCCUGUUGGUUGCGCCUUUUCAGGCGGGAGCCGUUGCGGCACCGCACCGUACCUUGUAUCUUGGAGGCAGUCAAGCCAAUGGACUUGAACCCAUAUAAACCAGGUAGUCCGACGAAAUCAUAAAAGACCUUGAUUCAACCAACAUACAACCAAGAUCGUACAUGAUCAAGCAUCACCAUCACAGAUUACAUACAUUCAUCACAGAACAUAGUUUUACAUCACAUCAGAGUUUAAAAGAGGUUAUUACAAACCAGUUUAGUAGCGGAAACAAAGUAGUUUUAAAACAUCACGCACUCAGUUUAAAUUACAUGCCAGCUCCAUGGUCAAACCCAACAAAAGCACAACUGAAGAUAGAGAAGGUGAUUGUUGACGGUCCUCAAGUAUCAAAUUUAAUUACCAAAUAAACAAGGAAAAUGAUCCAAAUGAAAUCAACAUCUAGACUUAGGGUUUUAUCUGACAGAAUUCCACGAGUUUUGUUGUUUGUCUAUUUUUGCAGGGGGUUAUCAGGAAAUAAGGAAGAAAGGCCCACAUGUCAGGAUUACAUUGAGAUAUCAAUGCACCGCGCAAUUUUCUACCAUCUAGAAGACUCCAGAAGCCACGGGAAGGAAGCGGAGGCCGAAAGGGGCCAGGCCCAGGGCGCCCGCCCUGAGGACCUGGGCGCCCGCCCCCCUUUGGACUCCGUUCGGGACUCUCUUCGCACACGACGAUCCACCGACCUAAUAGAUCAAAGAUAAUGUAGUACCACCUCGCCUACCGACCCAAAAACGCAUAGAGGAGGAGGACUAUAUAAAGAGACCCCCCUGGCCCCUGGAGAAGACAAGAAAUUAUCAUAGAGAUUGAGGGGUGCCCUCGAAGGAAAACCUCUUCUCUAAAUAAUAUUUCUUUUUAGGCUUAGCAACCAAUGUAAGUAGAAAUAGAUCUUCUAGUUUCUACUAGAUUGAGAGAGAUAGAGUGGAGGUGUAGAUCGGAGGAAGGCCGGCCUGUCGGUGUCUACUCCGAGUUGUACCUGCGGGAUCAAGUCUCCUAACCCAAGGCUUGCUUCUAAGAUUCUUCAGUAAUUCGACUUCUAAUUCUAGUAAGUUCUUGUUUUAUUGUUCUUUGGUUUAUGAGUUUACUUUAAUCCUCUUCCGGUUAAGUAUUAGAGUAAUCAUUACUAGCAUAAACGUGGUGUUUAGGCUAGGGUACUCAUAGAUAUCCCCUGACUAGAUGGACCGUGGUAGUAUCGAGGAACGUGACAUUUCCAAGUUACCUUUGUAUCCCAUAUCUUGUUAGCAGGACGGGUAGGUUUAUAGGUGCGGGUCGAACAUCCUUUGUGUUGUCUAAAUUCCGUGAGCCUCCCCAAUAGAACAGUAGAUCAUCCUUACCAAGGUUAGAACGAGACUACGGUUGCAGUCUUCUCUAUACAUCACUCACAUCGAGAAACAUUCUUUGUAGCCUAAAGGGGUAAUAGCAAUAGAUUUGGUUAGUCAGAUGCACCCUUUCUCCCAGAGGUAAAAAUAUAAAUACGAUAACUCUGGAUAACCUCCUGGGUGAAAUGCUCACCGAUAUCCGUGCGCUUGCGGAACAUUUCCUUAUUGCAUUACCAAAUAUCAACAAGCAUUUCUGGCGCCGUUGCCGGGGAGAAAGACAGUUUGCUGAGAUAACUUUGAGUCUUGCUAUUAUCUUGUAUUAUACUUUUAUACUUUUAUUCGUUUAUCUCUUUAUUUUUAUUUUUAUGGAUAACUUAAAUUCCAUACCUAUUAUUGAAUUCUUUGCACCUUCGGAGACCAGCCAUAGACCAUGGGAGUCAACACGUCCUGCCCCUAAUUAUGAUCUGUGUCCGGAGUUGAUUGCAAUAGGUCAAAACCAACCCUUUUCUAUAGCCGAGGUCCUAUCUUUUAAUCAAGAAGAUAAUGCACUUUUAGCUACACCUAGGGAAUCUUUUAAUCUUUCUAUAAAUUUUGGUUUAGACCUAGUCCUACAAGACCAUGUUUUUCCUAAAUAUUUUCACAUUGGUCUUAAUCAUAUAACCUUUGGUAGAGUCCUUCUUUCUUUAUCUAUUAGUAAAGGAAGGUAUAUCUUCAUUUGUGGACAACCUUCUUGCACUAGUCUUCAUAAAAAAUUCCUAGAGAUAGAGAAGGAAUCAUCUCCCAGACGAGGAAAGGAAGUUUCAAUAGCCGAUUUCCAAACAUUCCAAUCCCAUGAUUCGGCUAUCCAACCCAUCCUUGAGCCUAAUAAUUUCUACUAUGCUCUUUCUCUUGAACCUCCCGAUGAUCCUAUAAAUCUCUCUAGACAUCCCAUUCAUAAGAGUCACCAAGACCACAAGGAGGAUCGAGAAGAGCAACAUCGAUGGCUAGAGGGCAUUAAAAAUCCAUGUGCUAUCACCAUUGAAUGGAUAAAUAAAACAAACUUGAGAGACAAUCCUAGAGGAAUUUUAAGCAUUCAUGAAGAAUCAUCCUUGGAGUUUGAGAAUGAGAGAAACAAUAGUGAGCAUGGAAGUUAUUUCAUAAAUACCUCACCAAGUCCAUGCUCAUAUGCAACAUCUCCCCAAUCAAUUGGUCUCUCCAACAUUACCACAUUUGAGAUCUCCAACCCUCUCUUCUUUUCUAUUUAUAAAAACUUUAAAAGAGCGGUUGUCGAUGCAUAUGUCUAUAAUAAAUAUUGCAGAUCUCGUUGAGUUAAUUGAUGGUUUCCCAAGGACAAGCUUAGUGUCCUAAAACAAGCACUUCUAAUUAUUUGCAACAUUGCCUUGUGUAUUGAGCAUAUAAAGAUAAUUGUAGAAAUAUUCCUUCGGGUAUUCUUGCCACUAACCUUUCUAGGAUUGGAGCAAGAAGAUCGGAUGAAUGACAAGCACAAGGUAUGUCCAACCAAUCAUCAUGCAACAUUGAAUUAAAUUCAUCCAACAUUGAAUUUUGGAAAAUUCAAGCUUGGGGGAAAUACCUUACAUAAAAAACAUCAUUUGCCAUGUUGCUAUGUUGGUUGUCCUUACCUUUAAGACAUGCUCAAUUUGUUAAAUACUAAUUACACUACUUCAUCUCCACUUAAGUAGAUCUCUAUAAAUGCUCUCAUGCUACCUUUAUUUGCUUUAGUAUAUGUCUAGGUUUGGAAUAGUUUCAUUUAUCUCUUAAUUAAGCAUGGUGCUUAGUUUAGGAAUGAUGAUCUUACUUCCAAGGGAUUUUAAAUUAAGCAUGGUGCUUAGGUUAAAAUGCCCUUCUAAAUCAAAUUAGACAUGGUGUCUAGGUUUAUUUUUUUGAGCCGAUAGUAUGCUAUAAUAGAUAUGGGAUAUUUUGUUGGACUAACCCCUGCAGGAAAACUUUUAACCUGGGAAGUCCUGAGAUACAAACUCAUUGGAGAUGAAGAAAGUGACACAUGAAGUUUAACAAUUUGCACAAGAAGGACAUAGCUCAUUCAUCAUAAAGAGAUGAUCUAUGGAGGGUGCCACAAACACGAUGCACAACCGCUAAGAAAGGAAAGCUUCCACAAGGUGAUACUAUACCAUCACUCUUCAAGUAAGGUAACAUCUUAAGGUACGCGACUAGCACUUUCAUAAGCUUCUCCUUGGUUUUGGCGUUCACAUACAAUAAAGAGACAAACAUGUAUGAUUUGUAGCUCCAAAUUAACCAACCCAAUUAAUUCAACAUGUUUAGUCCUUUAAUCUUUGUUCUUAGUACUACCUUCGUGAUCCCACACUCCUAAUCAUAUAAGCUGAAAUGUUGCACAUUCAAUCUUUGGAAGAUAUAAACAAAAUAUAUAUAUAGAUAGAUUAUCUUUCCAUUAGGUCAAGCAAUCUGAUCUGGCAAAUGUUUUAAAUGCUACACUCAUGAUCCAUCAACUUUGUUUUGCUCACUAUGCUUAAGGUUAGAGAAGAACAAUUACACUUCUGGUUCUGUUGGUGUUUUCCACCAACAGGGCCCAUGCACUUGAUCUCUACCUUGUCUCUAUGAAUCGGUACACUUCAAGCAAAACAUGAAGGAGUUUUACAACUCCCAGAUUCCACCAAGUGAAGGACCUGGAUCUACGAGCACAAACACACUGAGCAAGAUGCUGCUAACGCCGCACUUCGAACUACUGGGCAAACGAAGAACAUGGGUGACACCGUAUCAAGAAGUGCAGACGUCAAGGUCCACACCUAAUCAAAUGAUGCACCUAAAGGAUGAAGACGGUGAGAAGUCUUGUCCAGAAGACUUAAAACAUUGGAUCCUUGUCGGAGGAGGUCAAGAUCGUCGACUCAAGUCGCCUUUCCUAAUCAAGAAGGACAACCCUGGUGUUCCAAGCAUCAAGUGCACAAUCAAUGGAUACUCUUUUCAGAAGACACUCUACGACACUGGAUCUGACGUCAACAUAAUGGCCGCAGUCACUUAUCAGCUCCUGCAUGGAACCAUGCCCCUACAACUAAUAUAUAUUCAGCUCUAGUUGAUUUUCAGAUCAUUGACAUGGGAGAAGACGAGUACGAUCCACCCAUCAUCCUUGGAAGACCAUUCCUCAACACUAUCAAAGUUAUCAUCUACAUUGAAACCGGAGAAGUCCACGUGUACUUCCCCUCUGAGAAGGUACGCCGCUAUUUUACUGACCUUAACUAUAUAGUUGAAGACUCUAAGCAGGUCAAGACAAGAAGAAGAUAACGCAACCGCAACCAGAGGAGGCAAAUCAUCAAGGACGGAUGGGCAGAUUACGAAGGAGAAGUGGUAAGGUCUGAAGACAUACAGCUUGAACAGAACUGUCCUAAGGAGACCGUAGCACCGAGUCAGAUGUGGAGAGAGAAGAUAGUUAUACACGAAGAAGAGGCGCCGCCGGAAUCACCGACUACGCCACCUAGCGAAUCCUAGGACAACUGAAAACACAAGGAGUCCCGUUCGGAGGACUUAAAAAUACUGAACGCCUUGCCAAGAGGUAAACUUGGUAGUUAUCCUUUUCCAUUCAAUAGUUUGCUUAGUUAACCAGGUUCAUGCUAUCUUGAAAAGAAAAUAAAAAUAUUAAAAAAAUAGUAAGCCCCAUGUGAGUAUGCUCAUGGCAUAAAACCCAUAAGUACAUUCACUGUGGUGGCAUAAAAAUAAAAUAAAUAAGUUUUCAUCUUACAAUAAAAAUAUAAAAAUAAUAAGUGCAUGAUCCUGCUAAAUAAAUAACAUUUAUUGAGGAGGCUCAACAUGAUAAAGGCUAGAUAUUUAUGCUAACACUUAACCAGUUCCACAAAGCUUUGUUGUCUAUUUGAGAUCCACAUAAUUCAAGGAUCAAAGAAGACUAGCAGACGGAGGACAUCCUAAUCGCUGUCAGGGUGGUGCCGACAUUCAAAUACACCUCCGCCACCUGCUAGCUACAUUAGAAGAAAUUACGUCAAAAUCCAGCUUGGGGGAGACCACCCCCAUUUAUCCAGCUAAGUGUUUCUACUCGCGUUUAUACUUUACUCAAAUAAUAAAAAGAUGCAUAGUCAUAAAAAACCCAAAUAAAGAUUUUGUCCUUGCUUAGUUUGCUAAAUAAAUAAAGUUUGCUAUGAACCCUUAUGAUAAGCUCUCACAUGGAAAUGAUGAAUAGUUGCUCUGCCAUGACUAGUUCAUAAAAUUGAAAUCUGUCUCAAGUUUAGGCAUAACUUAUAAUUUAAAUCUGCUCUAAACCUGAACUUAUGGGAAGAGUACUUGAUCUGAAGUCUAAGUCGUUAACAGAUAUGAUAUGGGAAAGUUGAGCUGUUGUUUAUCUGUUCCUAGAGAUGCUAGAAUUCUGGAGAAUUUUAUCUUUGAAAAAUCUUUAAAAUAACACAUGAUGAGUUCCUGUAUGAUGAGAGUUUCAAAUCCAACCACAGCCAUAUAUACAUGCUUGUUAGACUUUGAGCCACACAUUUACUUUUUACUGCUUAUGAGCAUUGAGUGUGGUCAAGCUGUGUAGACCCUUAGGAGCUUGUGAUGUGGUUAAAAUCAAGAUUCACUUGCACGUUCACUCGUAUAUGCUGCUUCUACUCCGGAAGUACGCAUCCACAUACAUCCACUCAUUUCCAUCUCCAGAUUCACCCAAAAUUAUUCUACUCCUAAUCCGGAAGAGAAUAGCCAAAAACAUUAUCCUAACCCUGUUACUCCCUGUGGAAUAAAUGCUCGAGUUAUCUUGGUUACUACCACUUGCUAUAUUAUUUUAGAAGAUGAGUGCUCUAAAAAAAAGAAAAAGAGGAAAAAAAUACGAGGAAAUAAAAAGGGGCAAGUGUCCGGAACCUCGAAGAAAAGAAAAAGUGAGACGAGAGGUAAAAAUGGACAAGUGUCCAACAGUAGAAUUAGGGGUACAAGAUACCCACCUGAGAGGAAAGAAAAAAAGAAAAUAUAGAGCAACUCAUUCUCCCCAAAAAGCUUCAAACUGCAAGAAAGGUAUGUAUCCCCUCAAAAGAGCAAAAGUAGAAUUAACUGUCACCAUUAUUAUCACCAUCAUCACCAUACACCAUUCAUUCGCCACACAUGCACAUCUUGAUUUGACUUAUUGACUUGUUUCUCUGGAUCCAUGGUUUGACUAUGCAAUAAAUGUCUUGUAAGUAUGUAUUAUCUGUCUCCCACCUAUGAGCUCCAGAUAUCAAAACCUUAUUAGAGUAGGGUGAGAGAGAAGGUAAUAUCACUAUGCAUUAUACCAAAAAUACCACAUACUUUGAGAGAAGGCAUAUACCAUUACUGCCUUGGUAAGGAUCCAGAAAUACCACAAAAGAGAGAUUUGAGAGAGUCAUAUAAGGAAUCUCUGAGUUUUAUUUGAAAAUCUGCAAAAACUCUAGAGCUAUAGCUGAUCAAAGAAUAAGAGACAUGGUGCUUGACUUGACCGUUCUAUCUUUUAACUGCUCAAGACACAAGUGACGGUUACAAGCCCCACGGUGAAAGGUAAAAUGAGUAAGCUUUAAGUCUUAACAGUUUAUUCUAACUCAGAGAUGAGAUCUUGCUUGAGUGUGUGUACUUUUAAGGCAUGAAACCACUGCAGAAACUCUUGAGUUCAUCCUUGCUCAGGGACGAGCAAGAGGUAAGCUUGGGGGAGUCUGUUGACGGUCCUUAAGUAUCAAAUUUAAUUAUCAAAUAAACAAGGAAAAGGAUCCAAAUGAAAUCAACAUCUAGACUUAGGGUUUUAUCUGACAGAAUUCCACGAGUUUUGGUGUUUGUCUAUUUCUGCAGGGGGUUAUCAGGAAAUAAGGAAGAAAGGCCCACAUGUCAGGAUUACAUUGAGAUAUCAACGCACCGCGCAAUUUUCUACCAUCUAGAAGACUCCAGAAGCCACGGGAAGGAAGCGGAGGCCGAAAGGGGCCAUGCCCAGGGCGCCCGCCCUGAGGACCUGGGCGCCCGCCCCCCUUUGGACUCCGUUCGGGACUCUCUUCGCACACGACGUUCCACCGACCUAAUAGAUCAAAGAUAAUGUAGUACCACCUCGCCUACUGACCCAAAAAUGCAUAGAGGAGGAGGACUAUAUAAGGAGACCCCCCUGGCCCCUGGAGAAGACAAGAAAUUAUCAUAGAGAUUGAGGGGUUCCCUCGAAGGAAAACCUCUUCUCUAAAUAAUAUUUAUUUUUAGGCUUAGCAACCAAUGUAAGUAGAAAUAGAUCUUCUAGUUUCUACUAGAUUGAGAGAGAUAGAGCGGAGGUGUAGAUCGGAGGAAGGCCGGCCUGUCGGUGUCUACUCCGAGUUAUACCUGCGGGAUCAAGUCUCCUAUCCCGAGGCUUGCUUCUAAGAUUCUUUAGUAAUUCGACUUCUAAUUCUAGUAAGUUCUUGUUUUAUUGUUCUUUCGUUUAUGAGUUUACUUUAAUCCUCUUCCGGUUGAGUAUUAGAGUAAUCAUUGCUAGCGCAAACGUGGUGUUUAGGCUAGGGUACUCAUAGAUAUUCCCUGACUAGCUGGACCGUGGUAGUAGCGAGGAACGUGACAUUUCCGAGUUACCUUUGUAUCCCAUAUCUUGUUAGCAGGACGGGUAGGUUUAUAGGUGCGGGUCGAACAUCCUUUGUGUUGUCUAGAUUCCGUGAGCCUCCCCAAUAGAACAGUAGAUCAUCCUUACCAAGGUUAGAACGAGACUACGGUUGCAGUCUUCUCUAUACAUCACUCACAUCGAGAAACAUUCUUUGUAGCCUAAAGGGGUAAUAGCAAUAGAUUUGGUUAGUCAGAUGCACCCUUUCUCCCAGUGGUAAAAAUAUAAAUACGAUAACUCUAGAUAACCUCCCGGGUGAAAUGCUCACCGAUAUCCGUGUGCUUGCGGAACAUUUCCUUAUUGCGUUACCAAAUAUUAACAGUGAUCACGCCCAUGAUCUACUCAUCGUCCGCAGCCGGAUGAUGACAGUUAGCACAGUAGCCGUGGUAAACGACAUCAUCUGCAACAGGGGUAGAUAAAACCCUGAGUACGAGAAGGUACUCAGCUAGACUUACCCGUCAUAAACUAGAAAUAAAGUGACACCAAGGGGUAUGCAAGGCUGAACUUUGUGGACUGGUUGACUCACCUUUUUGCAUAAAAAGCCUUUGUUGUAAGUAUCCCCUUUAUACAAUUUCAGCAGCAGAUUUAUUACUUAACAACUAUCCACUAGAUUAGCACCUGUUCUAAGCAUACACUUGAAUAAUUAAGCAUUUCAAUAAUAACCAUAUCCGGAUUAUCACUUUGCUAUCAACAUUCUCAUCAUAACCAUUAAGUUUAUUUAGUGAGUUCUACGUGCGACUGCCCGAGUCAAGUUCUCACUAUCCGGGAGAGACGGCGAUUCGAAUCGAUUCCUAUCCAGCUGGAGGGGUAUUCCUAGCACUCACCCAAGCAUACUUCAUAAGGGCAGCUCGGAUCACCUUUAGCACAACUUUGGACCAAUUUGCGGGUCCGUCCAGCGCCGCACCCCCAGGGACCGCCAAUCUGCUAGGGUCAGGACUCUAACCUGACACCUCGGACUUACGCCAUUGACUCCCCGCACAUACUUACUACCAACCGGGGUGCGCACUCAUACAGAACGGGGUAUCCGGCCUGAGUUGCACUCGUUGGUUUCGCGGUCGGAACGACUUAUCCGGCCAGAUAAGUGUUAGGCAUGCGUUCAACAUGACACGAGGACAUUACAGCGAAUCAGUCCUUAAUCGACACAGACGGGGAUAGAUUCACACCCAAGACCUCCAUGCCUUGUUGUUGCACUAUCGUCAUCCCGCCCGGUCUCAAGUUCAUUAUUAGCACAUGGUUAUUUCCACGAUAGCAAAUAUAGCCAACCGUGAUUAGCAUCCACCUAUCUCUCGCAGGUGACAGGAAAUCACCCGGCUUCUACCGAGCUAAGCAUGGCUAAGCAUCAAUUCGAUCCUAGACCUACUUAGGUGAGGUAUGAGGUGGACAAGGUAGUCAUUAUGCAGUAAGGGUGUCAUAUCAACGCCUAACACUUAAUGCAACAAUAUAUAACCACAGUCAAUUGAUAUCUGGACGUGAUACAAAAAUAGUAGGAGGCUUAUAAUGCUCCGGGGCUUGCCUUCGACGUAGGUGGACGGGCGAUGGUCGGGACACUCCUGCAAGUCCUCCUCCUCAGCUCCUUGAGGUGGCUCCCCUUGCUGUUCUUCCGGCUCCGGCAGCUCGAACUCCAAAACCGUCACGCCCUUGGGUACACCUAUGUAUGCAUGACAAGGAGAUAAAUAUAGAGAAUGCACAUACGAUGCAUGAUGUCAUGAUGAAGAGCUAAAGAACACACAACAAGGUAUAAACAUGAGCAUAAACUCCUAAAAUUAAGUGAAUUAUAGAAUAACAAGUAAGUGCAUACUUCUUCUCUGGUAGAGAGGCUAACUAGACAAGUUAAUCAACCUUAGCUACUCCUACUCAAUCACUGGUUUCAUAGACAAACCAACUUGUCACAAGUUUCAGCUAUAACUUAAGUAGCAUUUGGCCAAACUAAGCAAGUAGAUACUUUCUGGAAAGCUUAGUAAAUUGUCUACAAUCCACUUUUAGACAUCCCAGAAUAAUUCCCAACCGAAAUAAGCUAAAACAUACAAAGUUGGCUGGCUGUCCUGGAAAAUCCAGAGAGCAAGCACUUUGCAGCAGCUACUUGUAACAUUCAUAACUUUUAAACUACUCAACCAAAAGUCAUGAAACUUGGACACGAGGUAGAUAAGCAAGUUAGCUACAAGUUUGUUAUAGACACGUUUCCCAGAAAACAUCAUCUUCAAUGAGUUCUUAAGCAAUUGCUAACAGCUACACAGAAUUGCUCUAGGAAAGGCAUAAAUAGUAAAAAUAAUAUUUUGCACAUAACAAGAAUGUAUCAAAGGGUCAAUCCAAAUGCACCAGUAGAUAAAACAUGUCUAAAAAACACUAGAAAACAUCAUGGCAAGGUCUAAACUCAUUUCUAUCAUCACCUUUUUCAUUUAUUUAAUUAUUAAGGUGAUUUAAUGAACAUGCAUCCCAAUUGCUCCAAGAAUUCUAGGAAAAUUACAGCAAGUUAUGCUAACACAAGGUUACUGUAAAAUUUUCAGGGCACUUGCACAAACAGAUUGUGAGAUACAAAAAUAAAUAGCUAGCAAAGGCAUGCAAGGCAUAAAUGUGAAACCCUAUCAAAAAGUGUCAAACAACAGAUUUCAGAUUUUUCUUAGCUUUGUUUACACAUGAGUACAACACUCAGCAAGUUUUACCACAAAAGGAGUUAUAACUUAUUUAUUAAAAAUACCACAAGAAACUCCUAUUUGAUCAAGAAAUAUUUAUAACUUCAAAAUCAGGCCUACAAAAAUCAUCAUAAAUUUAUCAGAGCCUAUUCAUGUCUUAAGUAACCAUAGCCUAAAUUUGCAUGGCCAUCAGAUCAACAGAUCUCAAGAUAUAAUUACCUCCUAUAUAAUCCAGAUUAAAUCAUAUCUAUUUAUUUCUGCAAAAACAUGGUAUGUUUCAUAUUUUUAAUAAAAACUAGAGUAACACAUGAACCUAGCAAAAUUGGAAUCACAUCAUUUGGAUCUGUAAUACUCAAGAUAUGAAUUUUACAAAAACAACACAGGAUCUGCAAAACAGUGAACCAGGGAUGUGAGAGGGAGAGACUGACAGGUGGGAUCCGCUGACACACGGGACCCACACGACAGAGAGACAGAGACAGGGGAGACGCUUGUCGCCGGCGAAACUCGACGACGGCGAGGUCUCGGUCGGAUCCAAGGGCAUCUACGUGUUCCUCUCCUCAAGGCGACUCUGUUGACCUACUUCACUCGCGCUCUACUGGACCCUAGGGUGCUCGCCGUCGUGAAUGGGGGAGCGGUGGUGCUGCGCGGCGUUACGCUGGCGAACCUAGGCAUCGGCAACGCGGUAGAGGUUGCGGACGAGCAAGAGCGACUCAAGGCGAAGCUAUAGGAAGAAGAAUCACGGCCAGAGGUGGACCAGAGAGGUCUGGCCACGUUGCCGGUGAUCUCUGUGAACUCCGGCGAGGUGGAGCUCGCGGCGGAGUUGGUAAUGCGGCCUCACCGGUGCUCGGCUAAGGGAAAGGAGUGGAUGUCGAGGCAGAGGACGUCGAGGCGGAGCUCUGGGCAGACUGGCUUGGCCGGAGACGCGGUGGAGCGGUCGGUACAGCUCGCCGAAGCGCGGCGGAGCUCGCCGAGGACGAAGGCGGACGCAAUGUGGCGCUCUGGAGGGGUGAAUGGCGUGUCUGAGGCGUCCACUCGGUGUGUGGCGUCUUGUGGACGACGUCGGGGCUUACAGGAGGGACCGUCGAUGGCGUACGGCCGACAGGUGGCCGGACACGCGGCGGCGGGUGAACUCUGCCCAAACUGAAACGUUCACUGAAUCGCUCGAUCAGAGUGACUGAAACCCGAUCUUCAACAACGUUUUACUCUUAGCUCAAUUGAUGGUUUUGGCUUGGAUUUGAUCCUUUGGAUAGAGCUACACGAGUUCUACAAGUUUGCUUUAAGCAUCGAAGCCUAACUCUGCCUGGAUUUCAAUCUACAACACUCCCAAGUACCCUACCUCGAAACUGUGAGAUUCCAGACUUAGCCAAAUUCGGCUAAGUGUGAAAACAGCACUGAUUUCUGGCUUGUGAGCAGAAUUUGAAUGGUUUCCAAGCUUUUUCAUGAAAAGUCAUCAACAUAACUUUUGUAGCUUAUGAAAUUUAUUACAACUUUGUUUUAGGUAUCAUUUACAUGCAAGGUCUCUAACAUCAAUUUCAUAAAACAUCUUUGAAGAGAGGUCUAGGGGGUCAAAUAGGUCAAUCUAGGGUUAACCAUGACCUAGAGGCAUUUUUGGCCAAAACCUUCAACAUGAACUUUGUUCAAAAUGUUGUUCUAAACAUGAUUAAGGUAUUUUGGAAGACAAUAUACACUUGUAUGCCUUAGUCACCCAUUACAAUCAACCAUAGCAAGUCACAUAGCAAUUUAAUCACAUAGUACAUGUAGCAAAUGGCAUAUGAUCAUGGUAUGAUGCUCAUGAGUGAUCAUGAUGAUGCUUAUGUUGAUGCAAUGCUCAUGGUUAACAUGCAAGCUAACACUAGGAGUGUUACACCAAUGACUGGCACCCGUCGUCGAUGACGGAGCGUCGGCUGUUGGAGCUUGAGAAGGAGGGGCUCCUGCGCCCUCGCGUUUCCUCGUCGCGGCCGGAGUGGAUCGCACCCGCAGCGGACCACCGGGAGCCGAGACCGCCCAAGGGGUACAUGGUCUCCUUCGCCAAGUUUCACCGCCAUGGUCUGGGUUCCCCUCCAAGCCGCUUUAUGCCGGCUCUCUGCCACCAUUACGGCGUGGAGCUCUAUUGGGUAUUUUAAAUGCAAACAGAAAAAUCCGCAAGCGCACGGAUACCGAUAUAGCUUUCACCCGGGAGUAUUCCAGAGUAUCGAUUUUCCACAGAGAACGUGAGUGCACUAAUUAAGAUUCAAGAUCACCCAAGGAUAACUAUAUAAUUAUUUUUGGUGGGAAGAGAGGAAGUUUCCUGAGAGUUCUCUAGUUGAUCUAAGAAUCAAGAAUUACUUCAAAGAUUAUUUAUUUCAGGACAUCAGAACACUAACCACAGAAAGAGAUGAGAAGGGGGCUAGGAAGCUCUGACUACGGUCCUACAAACACCGAUCCGAACGAGGUGGAAUACGUCGACCGUUAGGGCUGUCACUACCCUAGGGCUACCACAACAAUCCGUAGGAUUGGGUGUAAUUCCAGGUAAUUGCAAGACUAAACACCACGUCUAAUCUAUUAAUUACUACUCUAAUGUUGCAAAGAUUAGAGCACUUGUUGCAAGCGAGAAUCCAAUAAAUAACUUGAAUGUAAAUAAAAGUAAUUAAAGAACUCAGUAAUUAUGAAUUGAAGAACCUAGAGAACGAUGAAGAACGAACCAGUUGCUGCAAAAGUACAAUGUUGAGCAAGAUCCGACAGAUCCGGCUCCUCCUCCGCUCUCCUCUUUUCUCUCCCUAUUUUCUAGAUUACAACUAGAACUAACUAGAACUAGAACUAGAGGAACUAGAACUAGAACUAGACGAACUAUAGGUAUCUUCUCUACUUAGAUGAAGAAUUGAAACCCUAGCUUUGAUUUUGUAGAAGAGGUAUGUUCUCCCGGGGCCAGGGGCCUUGCUUAUAUAGUCUUUUCAGAUGAAUCUAGGCCGUCGGAUCAAACUGAUAUUGAUUGAACGGUUAUCCUUGAUCCUUUAGGUCGGUGGAGCGUGAUCCGCGAAACGGGUCCGAAUUGGACACUGUAGCAGGGCGGGCGCCCUGCCUCUAAGCCUGAUCGCCUUCCCGUUCGUUACCGUGGCUUCUGGAGUCUUCUAGAUGGUAGAAAAUUGCGCAGCACGUUAAUAUCUCUAUGUAAUCCCGACGAGUGGGCCUUUCCUCCAUAUUUCCUGAUAACCCCCUGCAGAAAUAGACAAACACCAAAACUCGUGGGCCUUUCCUCCAUAUUUCCUGAUAACCGUCAACAAGCUCCCCCAAGCUUAACCUUUGCUCAUUCAGCAAGAAAACAGGGGUUACUUUUAUGCCUCUUACCUUUGUUCUGGAGUUUUUUUUUGUAAGUUUCCAAAAUAAAGCUCCCCCAAGCUUAACCUUUUUAAGUUAUCACUAUGGUCUUAAGUGAUUGAAAAACAGAACGAUCAAGUCAAGCACUGUCUCAAGUUCUUCUGUCUUACCUUUGUUCUGGAGUUUUUUUUGUAAGUUUCCAAAAUAAAACUGAGGCAUUUGCCUUCUUCUCGAAAGAUAUAUAAGUAGAGCUUUAAAAAUUUUAGCAUACUUACUUUGCAUUUUGCUAUGUCAAUGCUCGGAGCAAGGGAGAGGAAUGUCAUACUCCUAGAUCAAGACCUUUGACCUUUUUGAAAAGUUUGUCAUCUCUUACUAGCAUAUUGCUUAUUAGAGGGACCAUAGGCUAUCAUUUUUUCUUCUUCUUCUUUUUUUAAGUGGGCACCAAGUACCCCUAAUUCUACUAUCAGACACGUGUCCAUUUUUUCCACUCAGGUGGGUAUCUUUGUACCCCUAAUUCUACUUCGGACACUUGUCCAUUUUUACCUCUCGUCUCACUCUUUUUUUUCGAAUCAAAUUUUUGCAUAGUCCCAUGCCUCUAAUGCAAUAAUACUUCGGAAGAGUGAAUCUUUUAUAUUCUUAAAACAAAAAGAACUUGAUCUUUAGAGCAUGAUAAUUCUCUCAACCAAAACUACAAGAAUUAACAAUGGCUUGAACAAAGCAAGUGCCCACAGUUUUAAUAUUUAUAUCUAUUAAGACUCUAGGUAUUAUGAUCUCAUUUCUUUAUGAAUUUUUAGAUUCUCAAAAGAUAAAAUAUCCAGAACUCUAGCAAAACUUGGAACAAGUUAAAUAGUAGCUCAAACCUUCUCAUAUCAUGUUUGCCAAUUACCUAGACUUGGAUCAAAUUUUAUUUAAAACUUAGAAUUACACAAAACUAUUGUAUAUUACUCAGAAGAAAAACUUUAUUUGGUUUCAUGGUUAUGCAUUUUUUUAUUUAUUUCUGAAUACUAGUAAGUAAAACCAAGAAAGAAAAGUAAUACUUAUCUAGAAACACGUGGGAGUGCCUCCCCCAAGCUGGAUGUUGACAUAGUCGUUCACUCUUGUGGCCUGCAUGGUUGGUCUCACUCUUCUUACGCCUCAAAAUUCUGCACAACCCAAAUAGACAACAAAACUCGUGGAGCAUGUUAAGGAUUAGGUAAUUGUCUAGAGCUUAUGAGAGCUUAAUAUGAGAAUUCUAUGAACCCAAUCACAUCAAGUUCCUCUACCUGGUUGUUUUGUGGCUCGAGAUAGAUUUUCAAGCGUUGACCAUUUACCUUAAAAGUGUUACCUAUGUCGUCUUGGAUGGUAAUAGCUCCAUGAGUUGAAGUGUCAAUAACCUUGUAUGGUCCAUCCCACUUACUUCGUAGCUUACCAUGCCCGAAGAGCUUAACUCUUGAAUUGAAUAGUAGAACCUUAUCUCCAGGCUUAAACUCCUUGUGCUUGAUUCUCUUAUCAUGCCAUCGUUUUGUUCUCUCUUUAUAGAUCCUUGAAUUAUGGUAGGCUUUCUCUCUCCAUCCUUCUAGCUCAGAUAGUUGCAUCAGGCGAUUCUCGCUAGCGAGGUGGAGAUCCAUGUUCCAUUUCUUGAGUGCCCAAUGAGCCUUAAACUCUACUUCCACAGGCAAAUGACAAGUUUUUCCAUAUACAAGUUGAUAAGGUGACAUGCCUAUGGGUGUUUUGAAUGCAGUUCUAUAUGCCCAAAGCGCAUCGGGAAGUUUGUCCUUCCACCCCUUACCCAUCUCAUCUACGAUCUUUUGUAAAAUAUUUUUGAUUUUUUUGUUAGAUGUUUCGGCUUGACCGCUAGUCUGAGGAUGGUAUGGUGUUGCGACGUUGUGUCAAACUCCAUGAUCGGCUAGGUACUUCCGGAAGAUUUUGUCAAUGAAGUGGGAACCUCUAUCACUUAUAACUAUCCGGGGUAUACCAAAGCGAGGAAAGAUUACUUCAUGGAACAUUCUCUUGGCAUGUUUUGAAUCAGCUGAUCGACAAGGUAGGGCUUCUACCCAUUUGGACACGUAGUCCACAGCUACUAAGAUAUACUUGCAAUUCCCGGACAUAGGGAAUGGCCCCAUGAAAUCAAUGCCCCAUACAUCGAAAAGUUCUACUUGAAGAUUAUUUGUGAGAGGCAUUUCAUUUCGUGAGUUCAUAUUUCCAUGUUUUUGACAUCGGUGGCAUCUCCUGACAAAGUCCUUUGUAUCUUCAUACAUUGUUGGCCAGAAAAAACCACUUUGCCAAAUUUUAGCAUGUGUCCAGAAUGCUCCAUAGUGUCCUCCAUAUGGCGAGGCAUGACAUCUUUCCAGAAUUUGAGUAGCCUCAGCCAUAGGAACACACCUUCUCAAGAGUCCAUCAGCGCAGACUCGGAAAAGAUAUGGCUCAUCCCAAAGGUGGAAACGACUAUCGUGAAGCAAUUUCCUUUUGUUUGUACCCGGUGGGACAUAGCCUUUUACUAUAAAGUUUACGAUGUCUGCGUACCAUGGAUCUGCAUGUGUUAUCUUAAGCAGGGUGUCAUCCCUUAGGUAGUCAUUUAUGGGAAGCUCAUCAUGUGUUUCCUUAUAUUGAAGCCUAGACAAGUGGUCGGCUACAGAAUUCUCUACUCCCUUCCUAUCUCGGAUUUCUAUGUCAAAGUCUUGGAGUAGAAGAAUCCAUCGAAUUAGACGAGGCUUAGCAUCUUUCUUAGUGAGGAGGUACUUGAGAGCAGCAUGGUCUGAAUAGAUGAUUAUCUUUGCCCCCACUAAGUAAGAUCUAAACUUGUCUAUAGAAAUGACAACAGCUAAAAGAUCUUUUUCAGUUGUAGUGUAAUUGAGCUGUGGUCCAGACAAGGUUUUGCUAGCGUAGGAUAUGGCAUAAUGUUUUUUAUCCUUGGUUUGUCCUAAAACAGCACCAACCGCAAAAUCGCUAGCAUCACACAUGAUCUCAAAAGGAAGAUUCCAAUCAGGUGGUUGGAUGAUUGGGGCUGAGAUGAGUGCUUUCUUAAGAGUUUGAAAAGAUUCAUGACACUCAUCACUAAAGAUGAAAGGUGCAUCCUUAGCUAGGAGACUAGUUAGGGGUCUAGCAAUUUGAGAGACGUUCUUGAUAAAGCGUCUAUAGAACCAUGCAUGUCCCAAAAAGCUACCGAUUCCUUUCACAUUCGUGGGAGGUGGAAGUUUUUCAAUAACUUCAAUCUUUGCUUUGUCCACCUCUAUACCAUGUUCGGACACUUUAUGUCCUAGCAUUAUUCCUUCCUGAACCAUAAAAUGACAUUUCUCCCAGUUCAGGAUUAAGUGCUUUUCUUCACAUCGCUGCAAGACUCUAUCUAAAUUCUCCAAACAAUGAUCGAAGGUUUUGCCAUAGAAGGUAAAAUCAUCCAUGAAAACCUCCAUGAUCUUCUCAAUCAUAUCCGAAAAAAUAGACAUCAUGCACCGUUGGAAAGAAGCUGGAGCAUUGCACAAUCCGAACGACAUUUGUCGGUAUGCAUAAGUUCCAUACGGGCAUGUAAAGGUAGUCUUUUCUUGGUCAUCUGGGUGGAUUGGGAUUUGGUGAUAUCCAGAAUAACCAUCAAGGAAAUAAAAGAAAGAGUGGUUUGCAAGCCGUUCCAACAUUUCAUCAAUGAAGGGCAACGGAAAGUGAUCUUUCUUUGUAGCCUUGUUGAGUUUUCGAUAGUCAAUACACAUACGCCACCCAGUGACAAUUUGUUGAGGAAUGAGUUCAUUCUUCUCAUUCCUAACGACUGUCAUUCCUCCUUUCUUUGGCACUACUUGGACAGGGCUAACCCACUCACUAUGUGGCACAGGAUAAAUAAUCCCAGCACGAUAGAGUUUGAGGACCUCUUUCUUAACAACCUCUCGCAUAGCAUUGUCAAGUCUCCGUUGUGGUUCCCUUGAAGGUGUAAAAUUGGGAUCAAUAGGGAUACGAUGAGUGCAGAGAAUGGGACUAAUGCCCGUGAGAUCUUCGAGAGAGUAGCCAAAUGCUGAUCUAUGCCUUUCAAGAACAGUGACAAGUUGUUGUGUUUCAUAAUCGGAAAGCUUGUCACUGAUAAUUACUGGAGUUUUUGGGUUGUUGUGCAUAAAGACAUAUCUAACGCCAGAAGGAAGAGGUUUUAAUUCUAUCGAAGGAGGUGAAGGUUGUUCAUUUUUGUCUAGCUCAACGGGUUCUACCAACUCUUCUUCUUCUUGAACAAAGUGUUCAUAAUUAAAGAAUGGUUGGGCCAUCUCCUCUUGAGUUAGCAUUAAGAUCUCCUUAAUAGGAUCUGGUUCAAGUUUGGGUUCCACUAUCGUGUUAAUUGAUCUAGCAAGAGGAACAAUAAUAGUGGAAUUCCCAACCUUGAAGUCUAAAUGACCUCGUUGUGGUUGUUCUUGUAGAAGUUUCAUGAUUGGUCUGCCAAUCAAGAGAGGAAUCUCCGGUAUGUCAAAAAUGUGAAAAUCUAGACAUAUUCCAGAGUCCUUGAUUCUAGCAGGAACUGCCCUUAAUACCCCAUGGCUUUCUCGAAUUAAUCCAGAUGGUCUUCAUAAAAGUUUUUGAGAUGGGGUUAUGGACUCGUUGGGAUAAAGAGUGUCAGCUAACUCCAUGGAAAUAACAUUUAUCCCAACAUAUGGAUUGUAGUGGACCUUCCUAGUGGACCUUCUAAUUUGGCAUAGAAGAAUGGUUAAAGGAGUGAUGAUCCGAGCUACCUCAGGAGACAGCUCUGCUUCUGUUAGCCAUUCAUAACUCAGAAUAGCCAAAAGGCUUUUGAUGUGUUCUAUGUCAAUAGGUUCUACUUUUAGAACGGAUUGAGUGGUCCCUGCUAGAGGUCGUGUUUGGAUAGGAAAAUUCGAGGUGUUUCCAUAAUCUUCAAAAAGAUCUUCCUCGAAUUCAAAGGGAUGCUCUAAAGUGGUGUUCAUCAUCCCUUAGUUGGUUUUGCAUUCCCUUAUUAGGAGGUUUCUCUACAACCAAAUUAAUAGAUGGGUUAUGUGGAAUUUCUAACUCGGUUGCAAGUUCCUCAUCUUUUGGUUUAGGAUUGGGCUCGACUUCUUUUUCUUCUUCAGGAAACUCAUAAUAAAUGCCUGUGUAAGUGGUAUUUUCAAGGAUUCUCUCUAGGAUAGCUCUCCCCUCAUCUGUGAGUUUGUGUGUGAAUGAGCCUCCUGAAGCAAUGUCGAGGUGAAGAGCAGCUUCCUUGUUUAGACCAUGAUAAAAGUGGUAGUACAAUACAUGGUCAGGCAGGGAAAGGUUUGGACCAGAAUUGCUAAGGCUUGUGAACCUAGCCCAAGCUGCUCCUAAAGUUUCCUUCUCUCUUUGUUUGAAUGUAAGAAUUUCGAAUCUAAGGUCAGCGAUUCGAAAAAGUGGGAAGAAAGCGAGACAAAAGUUGUCCCGAAGUUCAUCCCAAUUUCCAUUAACGCCUCCUGCAGAAUGAGCAUACCACUUUUUUUCUCUUCCCAAAAGGGAGAACGGAAAUAAUUUCCAUUUAAGGGUUUCUUGUGUCAUGCCGGAAAUAGAUCGACAAGAGCACAACUGCUCGAAUUCUAUAAGGUGGGUGUAUGGAUCUUCAUCUACUUGCCCAGAGAAGGGUUGCUCCUGAAUCAUGGCAAUUAGAUCAUGGCCGAGGUCGUAGCCAUCUAUAAGAAUUGGAUGUGACGAUGGUGGUGGCUCUAAUAACUCGCCCUUUGGAGCAAAGAAUUUAUAGAUGAGUGUGGUAAAAAGAAAAGAAAAAGGAUACAUGGACGACUUGGUUCGAAACUAGCAUAGCUACCGUUCCCCGGCAACGGCGCCAGAAAGCUUGUUGGGUAUUUUAAACGCAAAUAGAAAAAUCCGCAAGCGCACGGAUACCGAUGUAGCUUUCACCCGGGAGUAUUCCAGAGUAUCGAUUUUCCACAGAGAAUGUGAGUGUACUAAUUAAGAUUCAUGAUCGCCCAAGGAUAACUAUAUAAUUAUUUUUGGUGGGAAGAGAGGAAGUUUCCUGAGAGUUCUCUAGUUGAUCUAAGAAUCAAGAAUUACUUCAAAGAUUAUUUAUUUUGGGACAUCAGAACACUAACCACAGAAAGAGAUGAGAAGGGGGCUAGGAAGCUCUGACUACGGUCCUACAAACACCGAUCCGAAUGAGGUGGAAUACGUCGACCGUUAGGGCUGUCACUACCCUAGGGCUACCACAACAAUCCGCAGGAUUGGGUGCAAUUCUAGGUAAUUGCAAGACUAAACACCACGUCUAAUCUAUUAAUUACUACUCUAAUGUUGCAAAGAUUAGAGCACUUGUUGCAAGCGAGAAUCCAAUAAAUAACUUGAAUGUAAAUAAAAGUAAUUAAAGAACUCAGGAAUUAUGAAUUGAAGAACCUGGAGAACGAUGAAGAACGAACCAGUUGCUGCAAAAGUACAAUGUUGAGGAAGAUCCGACAGAUCCGGCUCCUCCUCCUCCGCUCUCCUCUUCUCUCUCCCUAUUUUCUAGAUUACAACUAGAACUAACUAGAACUAGAACUAGAGGAACUGGAACUACAACUAGACGAACUAGAGGGAUCCUCUCUACUUGGAUGAAAACUUGAAACCCUAGCUUUGAUUCUGUAGAAGAGGUAUGUUCUCUAGGGGCCAGGGGCCUUGCUUAUAUAGUCUUUUCAGAUGAAUCUGGGCCGUCGGAUCAAACCGAUAUUGAUUGAACGGUUAUCCUUGAUCCUCUAGGUCGGUGGAGCGUGAUCCGCGAAACAGGUCCGAAUUGGACACUAUAGCAGGGCGGGCGCCCAGGAGAGUAGGGCGGGCGCCCUGCCUAUGAGCCCGAUCGCCUUCCCAUUCGUUCCCAUGGCUUCUGGAGUCUUCUAGAAGGUAGAAAAUUGUGCGGCACAUUAAUAUCUCUAUGUAAUCCUGACGUGUGGGCCUUUCCUCCAUAUUUCCUGAUAACCCCCUACAGAAAUAGACAAACACCAACACUCGUGGAAUUCUGUCAGAUAAAACCCUAAGUCUGGGUGUUGGUUGCAUUUGGAUCAUUUUCCAUGAUUAGUUGAUGGUUAAAUGUGAGCAUUAAGGACCGUCAACAAGCUCUAGCAGUUUUCGCCGAACGCCAUCACCGCCGUGGUGAUUUUUGCUGUGGUGUGUGAGGGCUACCUUGGGAUGAUGCCGCACUAGGACCUGUGGCUCCACCUGUACCGAGGCGAGCUAUUCAAUGCCCCCGGUGGGGCUACAGGGGUGAGGAAGCCGGUGCGGGCCGGCUGCCUCAACCUGGUGCUGAAGACCGGCAAGGCGGAGGAGCCUCGAGAGUACAUCCCGGUGGGGUUGACGUCGAACCACGCCGGGUGGGACUCCUAGUGGUUCUUCCUGCGGAACGACGACGACCUCUUCCCCGACUACACCGGGCGCUUGAUCUCGGAGCGUCCGGACCACUCGAACUAUGGCGUCGUCAAGACCCUCCAGUCGUGGCUCCGUCCCAUCCUCGACGCCCUGAAGAAACUUCGUGAGGAAGGCUUGACCGCUGCGCUCGUCCUCUCGGCCGACCACCAUCUACGGGUACUCCCGUUGAUGUCUUGGCCACUGAGGAUGGACGAAAUGGGCCCUGGCAUUUCAUCUCGCGACCUCAAGGCGUGCCGGAUGUCCAACGAGGCACCCGCGGACGACGAGGUCGCCGCCAGAGUCAGGGCAGCCGUCGCCGCUAGAGUCAGGGCAGCCUGAGCGCGUCAACAGUUUCCCCAUGAGGCCCGAUGAGGGGUCGAUUGACUUGGUAAGUCCUUCUUCUUGCUAUGACUUCAAUUCCUGAUUUUUCCGACACUUCUUUAGACUUAUUCCCACCCACACAGGGAUCGAUUGACGCGCGGUCGUUGAGGCCUCCGGUAAAGGAGGACGACGUCGAUCGCGACAACAGACGCGAGUCCACGGAGAAGCAAAAGUCCGCAAAGGACUUAGAAAAGAAGAAGGAAAAGAAAAAGAAUCUUGAGCGACAAGCGCUGGAGACGCUGUUGGGUAUUCUUAACAUCAUUACCAAAAGUAGACUAAGUUCUCUAAAUCUAGUAACGGUGCCAAAAAUGCCAAACCUAUCCCUUACACCACUUAAGCCAAGUUGUCAUCCCCAGCAUGAUAUAAGAGACGCGGUAUUGAAAUAUGCAAUUGCUCUUCUAAAUAAAUAAUGAAUGGGAUCUGCAAGCGCACAGAUUAAUACCAAUGUAGCAUUUUAAACGGGAAGUAUUCCAGGUAUCGUUAUUUAUAUUUUUACCACUGGGAAGGGAUUAGCAAUCAUCAAUAUUGAUUACAGAAUAGAAUAUGAGAUUGAGCAUCUAUCAUUGCAUGUAUAAUUGAGAACAUUAUAUCUAACUCUUCAUAUAGGGAUAAGUGUCACAUAAAAGAUAUAUGAAAUAAUAAUAGUGACAAGGAUAAUUAGUCUGAUCUAGCCACAUAAUAAAUAUGAUAAGCACCUCAAUUAGAUACUCUAGAAAGUCAUUAGCAUGGUAUUAGAACGAACUACAAGAAUAUUCCCUAAGUUAUUCUUAACUAUAUAGUCUAGCAUAUCAUAGUUAGUGCAAGCAUACUUAGCAAUCAUUGCGAGACAAGACUACGCCCAUGCAUAGUGAUAUUAGCAAGGAAUAUGAGAAACAUAGCAAUCACUCCCCUGUAAUAAUGUUGCUCUACCAGCCCAAUACACGAGAGGGGGACUAUAUAAGAAUCAAUGAAGUUGUCACUAUCACGAACUACCCCACGAUCUGGCAUAUUGGGUACAAUCGCAGAUAAAUACGGUAUAAGCACCACGCCUACACAAUAUCUAUCAUUUACCCAUGGAUCCGAUGGAUAAACGCUAUACGAUCCUAAGCAUGUAUAUAGAUCGUAUCUAACUAAGCCAAGUACAUAACUAUGAUAAACUAAGAACAAUAUAAUCUUGAAUAUAAGCAAGUAGAGCAAAGUCAUAAGCAAUAUAUUGAAGUAGAACAAAGUCAUAUUCAUAAUAUUGAAGAACAAAGAUAAUUAGAAAGCAAUUAGAAGCACAAUUAGAGAAUUACCAAGAAUCCUCCUGACAGAUCCGGAAACCAAUCGAAGAUUGACUCCUUCUAGUUCUAAUCCUAUGUAGCUAUGCUAAUCUAGAUAUCUAAUUGAUGUGGUGGCUCUAAUCUUGAUCAGAGGCUUCUUCUCCCUUGAUGGAACAAUGAAUUAGGGUUGAGAGGCUCUCUCCUCCAGGGGCCAGGGGGUCUGGUUUUAUAGUCCCUCCAAGUGAAUAUGGGCCCUUGGAUCAAACCGACAUAGAUUGUAUGGUUUAGAUUCAUCCUUUAGGUCGGUGGAGAUCUCCCGCAAAGCAGAGUCCUGAUUGGACUCGGGAGGUGGGCGGGCGCCCUGACCAGCUGGGCGGCUGCCCACGGUCUGGCCCCGUUUCGCCUCCGCUUCGGUCUCGUGGCUUCUGGAGUCUUCUAGAUGUAAGAUAAUUGCGCAGCACGUUAAUAUCUUUACGUAAUCCUGACAUGUGGGCCUUUCUUCCGUAUUUCCUGAUAACCCCCUGCAGAAAUAGACAAACACCAAAACUCGUGGAAUCUGUCAGAUAAAACCCUAAGUCUGGAUGUUGAUUUCAUUUGGAUCCUUUUCUUUAUUUAUUUGAUAAUUAAUUUUGAUACUUAAGGACCGUCAACAAACUCCCCCAAGCUUACCUCUUGCUCGUCCCUGAGCAAAGAUAGACUCAGCUAUGGAUCAGAAGUUGCUGCAAUAUCUUUAAAAUUUGACGGUACACAUGCUUUUUAAAUAAGAUCUCAUCUCUGAGUAAGAGUAAACUGUCAAGACUUAAAACUUACUUACUUUACCUUCACCAUGGGACUUGUAACCGUCACUUCUAUCUUGAGUGGUUAAAAGAUAGAACAGUCUAGCCAAGUGCCAUGUCUCUUAUCCUUGAUCAGCUAUAGCUCUGGGGUUUUUGCAGAUUUUCAAAUAAAACUCAGAGAUUCCUUGUAUGAUUCUCUCAGAUCUCUCUUUUGUGGUAUUUUUGGAUCCUUACCAAGGCAUUGAUGGUGUAUGCCUUCUCUCAAGAUAUGUGCUAUUUGUGGCAUGAGGCAUAGUGACAUUGCCUUCUCUCUCACCCUACUCUAAUAAGACUUUAAUAUAUGGAGUUCAUAGGUGGGAGAUAAAGUAUACAUACUUACAAAACAUUUAUUGUAUAGGCAAACCAUGGAUCCAAAGAAACAAAUCAAUAAGUUUAAUCAAGAUGUGCAUGUGUGGCGAAUGAAUGGUGUAUGGUGAUGAUGGUGAUAACAAUGGUGGAAGUAAUGGUGGUGGAAGUCUAAUUCUACUUUUGCUCUUUUGAGGGGAUACAUACCUUCCUUGCUUUUUGAAACUUUAUGAGGAGAAUGAGAUGCUCUUCUUUUUCUUUUCUCUCAGGUGGGUAUCCUGCACCCCUAAUUCUACUGUCGGACACUUGUCCAUUUUUACCUCUCGUCUCACUUUUUCUUUUCUUUCGAGGUUCCAAGCACUUGCUCCUUUUUAUUUCCUCGUAUCUUUUUUUUAGAGCAUUCAUCUCUUGAGAUAAUAUAGCAAGUGGUAGUAACAAGAUAACUUGAGCAUUUAUUUCACAAGGGGAAAACAGAAAUAUUUUUGGUUAUUCUCUCCCGGAUUAGGAGUAGAAGAUUUUUAGGUGGUUCUGGAGAUGGAAUGGAUGGAUAUAUGUGGAUGGUACUUCCAGAGUAGAAGUAGCAUAUAUGAGUGAACGUGCAAGUGAAAUCUUGAUUUAACCACAUGACAAGCUCCUAAGGGUCUACACAGCUUGACCACACUCAAUGCUCAUAAGCAGUAAAUAAUAAAUGUGUGGCUCAAAGUCUAGCAAGCAUGUAUAUAUGGCUGUGGUAGGAAUUUAAACUCUCAUCAUACAGGAACUCAUCAUGCAACAUUUUAAAGAUUUUUAAAGAUAAAUUUCUCCAGAAUUCUAGCAUCUCUAGGAACAGAUAAACAGCAGCUCAACCUUCCC
rnacentral:lncRNA from 1 species